AUGUAUUAUGUAUGUACGUGUAUACGUAUGUGUAGGGCUGUGUGUAUGUUUGUGUGUGUGUGUGUUUUUUUAAGGAAUGAAGUAUUUGUUGAACAGUUGUCAACUAACACUUACUUUUUACAUUAUUCAUUAGAAUGCUUCUUUUGCAUUAUUUACCAUUCCAGUGUAUUGCCUCCAGUGCUUGCUCAAUUACUCAGUCCUGUUUGUGAUCUGGUGGACUGUAGCCUUCCAGGUUCCCCUGUCCAUGAAGUUUUUUUCAGUCACCCACUGGAAGAAGACGGAACCAAGUUUGGUUUGGAUGUUGAGACAGAUGAAGCCAUGUGCUAAAGUGCUUUGAGAAGGUUAACUGCUGAAGCUUUCUAGUCGGAGCAGGGUAGACUUGCAUGCUGUUGGAAAGAAAAGCUUGACGAACAUGGAAUGGUGACUCUUGGAGUGUUAAGAUGAUUACUGGAUGGCAAGGAGGGGAGGGUUCCUGCUUUGGUGAACUACUAGUUGCUAUCAAAGGAAAGGGGCCUUAGUCUUUUUUUCUCAGCCUGCCCGGAGAGGCAGCACAGGAAGCGGUUGUUUUUAAAGUCUAAAGGAAUCAGUAGUCAAACAUCAAAAAACCACAGUGAGACUUUAUAUUCUUAAACACUGAAUGUUUACACAUGCCAUGAAUUUAUAACAUUCCUUUAUGGUACACAUAUGUUCCAUUGUUCAUAUGGUUUUGAAGACGGUAGUAGCUUACUAUUUAUCUAUUUUACUAAACAAAUUACUAAUUAUGAUCUAUUGCCUAAGACAUUUUUACACUAGCCUAAUAAACAUUAAUAUUUAGACUUAUUUAUUAGGUAAUAAAUAGAAGAAGUUCAUUUUCCAGAGGAUAUUAAAGUGUUGAUGUCACAUUAUAGAAUUAAGUAAUAUGGCUCCAUGGUUCAUUGUCAGAUCUAGUGGAAUUUCUUUAGUUUUUUUUGUUUACAAUAUUGUGAUUUUUUUUUUUUUUUUACCGUACAUCAGCAUGAAUCGGCCAUAGGCAUACAUGUGUCCCCUCCCUCCUGAACCCACCUCCCUCCCCACCCCAUCCCUCCAGGUCUUUACAGAGCAGUGGCUCUGGAUGCCGUGUGUCAUUCAUCAAACUCCCACUGGCUAUCUAUGUUACAUAGGGUAAUAUAUGUUUCAAUGCUAUUCUUGCCAAUCAUUCCAUCGUAUUUCUUUUGUUUUUUUUUUUUUAAUAGUUUUUCCUUGAAAGUGAAAGUUGCAUCAGACUCUUUGCAACCCCAUGGACUAUACAGUCCAAGAAAUUCUCCAGGCCACAAUACUGGAAUGGGUAGCCUUUCCUUUCUCAAGGGGAUCUUCCCAACGCAGGGAUCAAACCCAGGUCUCCUGCAUUUGCAGGCAGAUUCUUGACCAGCUGAGCCACCAGGGAAGCCCAAGAGUACUGGAAUCGGUAGCCUAUCCCUCCCCCUGCAGACCUUCCUGAUUCUGGAAUCGAACCAGGGUCUCCUGCAUUCCUGGUGGAUUCUUUACCAACUGAGCUAUCAGGGAAGCCCAGUUUUUGCUUUGUGUUACUUUUUCUAUACACAUGUGAUGCAGAUUUAAUGUUUAAUUUACAUUUCUUCCAUGCCUUAACACUAACAAAUAUAUAGUUAUGGGUUAUUUUGAGACUUUUGUAACACGAAAAUGCACAUAAGACAAUGACAAGGUGUAAGGCAAGAUUGGAGAAAAAGUGAGCCAGGCAGAGAAAGAUUUGUUAUAGGAAGAAAAAGUGUCUGGCUUUAGAGAGAAGCCAGUGUUCUCCCUUUACAGCCAACCCUUCUUAUACCCUAUUGAUGGGAAGCUGUGCCCUGCAGGGAGAGGGCAUUAGUUUUAUCUUUAGCCCGCAGCUGGGGUCUUGUGAUCACAUAGUCUGAGGAGUCUCACAGUCAGGUGGUCACGUAGUCUUGAGAAACUGGCCCAGCAGAGCAAAACAGGAUCCCACCAGGGCAAAGUGGUCACUGGGCUUCAUCCGUUGUUUGUCAGGUCACCACAAUGGGCAAUUUUUCAACAAUACGCUCUGAGUCCCUUGUGGACCCUAACACAAGGGACAUAGUAGGUGCCCUAUAAAUAUGAAGAAAGACAGCUCCUUUAGUAGGACUUGAGUUCACUCAGUUUAUACACAUAGAAAUAUUUAUAAAUAGGGGUACUCUUUCUGUCCCCUUCUGAUGCCUAUGUCAGAAGCUUUCUCUAUCUCUUUUAUACUUUAAUAAAACUUUAUUACACAAAAGCUCUGAGCGAUCAAGCCUUGUCUCUGGCCCCAGAUUGAAUUCUUCUCCUCUGGGGGCCAAGAAUCCCGGUGUCUUCGCGUGAUUCAAUGACAACCUUUCAUCUUGGGGGCUCAUCCGGGAUCCUUCAGGACAAGGUAAGGAUGCUUGGAGCUUUAGUUCUUUGUUCUCUUAGCGAAUGUGUUUUCUGCUGUGCUUUACUAACUCUACGGUGUGCUUGUGUGAAUGAAUGGCAUGCCCUGCGUGAAGCAAGUAAGGAGCCCUGCUCUGUGGUUCCACGGUGAUCUCAAACGGCUUAUGGCAGAAACCUGUCGGGGCAUUAUACCGACCUGCCAAUGCCAAGAGGCACCCAAUGUCUCCUUCGGGAACCGAACAGAAAUGGGCAAAGCGUGUGGACCGAACUCUCCUUUCUUGGUCAAACUUUUCGGUCUCUUUGACCAUUUCAUAACUCCUUGGGAAUUAGAAGUACUAACCUAAUCUAUCGGAUCAUAGACUUUCAAGGGACUUUUGAUCUAUACUGUUAUUGUGUACUGUGGCUUAGGUCCCAAACUUGAAUUGGUAGUCAAGAAAGUGCCUAGCCUCGCUAGGAAUCGAAAGUUCGGAAGCUAGAUGGAGCUCUAGCUCCCAAAACAUCUCUGAGGUUAAAGGUUACUCAAAUUGGGACUGCAAUGGGUUUUUUUCUUUGAUAAUGCCAGCUCUUAGUAGAUCAGAGGAGGCUGUUAUACUGGUGUGGUGAUGCUUGGAAAGAACAUCUCAGUUUUAUGUUCGCGUCAGUCUUAUUGUGGUCAGGAAAUACUCAGGGUCGUGCACAGGCACUCAGGUGACAAAUGUUUUCCCACAGCGGUCUUAGCUUGGGAGGCAUUCCGGAAGGUUACUCUGAUUCACCCCGGGUGACAUCAGAGGCAAGCAAGGUUAAGGGUGAAGAGCUGGACGUCAAGUAGGGAUGCUAUCAAGUCUACCCUGGUACAUCCCACCCCAU
ensembl:lncRNA